GCUGUGGGGAUUGCUAUAAAGUUAACAGUUUAUGUUUGUUUUGUGUUUUGGCAGGCGCUCGACACAUUCAACGCAGCAAUUGUUUCUCCAAUCUAUUAUGUGAUGUUCACAACCCUCACAAUCGUUGCUAGUGUCAUCAUGUUCAAGGCAGUUGAUUGUGAUUUGUAUUCUUGUUUAUCACAUAAGAGAUGAGAAAACUAGAGUAGUUUGAAACACGAUUAGAGUUGGAUCUGUAGCAAAAUUAGCAACGCAUUGUCUCCUGAUGGCAACGGUCCAUGUAUUGUGAUUGUGAUGUUCAGGUUCAUGUAGUUAAUAAGAACCGUUGAGUGGAUUGUGAUUUCCAGGAGCACUAGAGCUCGUUACUGAGUGUAAGAACAGAGGUCUCAAAGUCGCUGUUGCCUCCUGCUCACAUUCAUAUCAGUUCUUGCAAUCCACCAACUGCCUUUACCAACAGAAGCAGGGUGAGAGCAUUUACGUGACCAGCGACCUUAUCAAAAUCUGGGAGACUGGGACGUUGGUAGAGGGCUUAGGCUGCCACGACGAUGCUUGACAACUCAUCCUCCUAAUUCCGUCUCUGCUUGCUUUCUCCGACAACUACUAAUCACUGAAUCAACAGCCGGUGUAUCAGCGAGUUCGCCAUUCUUUGUCUCACUGAUCUCGGAUGUGGUCCUCUCAGAGAUUUUUAACCCCAAAUCGACCUCAAACGUUGACAGACAUCCAUGGCGAGCACCAAAUUCCAGCCAAUCAUAUCUACGUUUCCUUUGAUCUUCUAUGUUUCAUCUAUAUGUUGAUCCAGAUGGGCUAUUUGUGCAUAAAGAGAUGAGGAUUGAAGAACUACCUAAUGUGAGUCAUGAAGGAACUGAUUUUUCUAUGCAAACCACCCAAUCAUCACUCAUUUACUGCUACUCUCUUCGUUAGUUUUGGUGUUUGAUCAACAACUUAGUUACAUUCUUUUCAUUAUGUAUUAAGUACAAGGUGACAUGCUCUAUAUCAGGCUUUCAAUCUCAAUCAAGUUUCAAUUGCCACUGAAGGACUGAAAGAUGCUCAACAACCUUUAUGUAUAUCUUUCGCUCUCACCACUGUACAACAUAUCGAAUCUAACCAAGUAUUAAGAAUGUCGAUUAAAAUCUACAUAUGACACCACUGAAAAGUAAUGAUGCAAACUGUAAAUAUGGAUAUUAUGGAUUUGAUGGGCGUGAGUUCUAAAAUACAAGAAAAAAUUGGUAGUAGCAAAGAUUUUCCUGAUGACCUUCACGAAGAUGAUUGCAUGGUGCUUUUGGUGUAUUUUAGAGCCUGAGGCUCUUGAAGCUGACAUGGGAAACGAGUCCAAAGUGGAUGGAGUGCCUUUUUCUCUCCAACGCGAUAAUCAAACUGAUUAUGAUGAGGACCUUAUCUUGCCCCAGAACCAAUAGGGCAGACUGGAGCUCAACCUGCUCGAGUUCAUGUUAAAGUGUUUAGACCCUUCUCCUUUUAUCGAACUUAAAAUGCUUUAAAGCAUGAUUUAGCUCUUUAUGGAUGCCUAAAGGGAGAUUUAAAUUUGUGAUUAACAGGCUGAGGAUGAGCUUGGAUUACCGGCAGUACCAAGCUACUCACUGGGGAAUAGAUCUUACGCUCUCUUUGUGGGGUAGAGCUGCUAAGAUCUUUUUUUUUUUUUUGACAAAAGCUGCUAAGAUCUUUGCACCAUUCUAAUGAUUUUGUGGAUAAAUUUCUGGCAAUAUAUCUAUGGAAUGGGAACCUUUUGGUGCAUUUUACUUACCUGAUUCUUUUUAAAGAAAUUUUGGUUUUCUUUGACCAAAAUUGGCUUACACAUGUCGAGUUUGAUAAGUUUGGUGGAAGUUCAAUGCUGCUGCAAAUAUUGCUUUGGACGAUGAAUCUGUUAUAUGCUGAAAGUCCUAUUAUAUCAAUCCCCUUCUCUAUAUAU